rnacentral:lncRNA from 1 species
UUUCAUCGUAGUUAAUCCUGCACACUUAAAACAAAACUUUGAUCGAGACAAUUAAUCCUAAGCAAUUAACCAAGUUGUCCGGCAUGUCAUUGGUCCCUCGACGCUUCGUCCGAUUCUUUGGCGCAUCGUCCUCUUCUGCAGCCUAUUGCCCAAUCGGCCAGUUGACUCCGCAACUCCGAUAUCCUUGGCACAAUACCCGCUCUUCUUGGCCCGAUGCCCGAGUCCACGGCCCGAAGCCUUAUGUCGAUACGCCGACCGAUCCACCGGCCCGACGUCCAAUCUUCUGACAUGUUCCUCCGGCACAACAUGAUUUUCCUGCUUU